AUUCAUUCGCGCGCCUAGCUGGCUCUGUGCUCCAGACGCCGCGGGCAGCCCGGGCCGCUGCGCACCGGCUAAAGAGCGCGCCCGCUGGGAAGUGGCGCGGGCCUUCCUCCCGCAUCCCGGGUCUCGGCGAGACAGACGCCGGGUGGAAUGGCGAUGAACCAGAGCUGGUCUCUGCUCUCAACGCUCGGCUACCUCUCGCCCGUCCCCUGCCUCCGCGCGGCCCUGGUCUGUCUCUCCACCCACACCUACCCCACGGCCGAGCGGACCUGAGUCACCAGCGAAGACGCGCGACCCCUGGCCUUGGCCCGAGUCGCCUAGCUGCAGUUCCCGGCAGCGCUGAGAACUGAGCUCUGGCGCGGGGUUCAACCUGUGUUCAGAGAGUCCUUCGGAGGGGGCAAGGCUAGCGAGGAGGCAGUCUUGACUUUGCACCGGAAUCCUUCUCGGAGACCCAGGAUUCCAUCCGCCUCGGUGGCCCGAGGGGGUGGGGAGUUGGAAGCUGAUGCACUUGACACUCUGGAGAGCGAGGUGAAGCUGCGCUGCGGUACAACCAAUGCAAGCACAGGGAUGCGAUCGCUGGACAUCUUUCAUUACCCUGGGGCUCCUAGCUUUCUCGUAGUUCCUAUCCACUCAGGCAUCGCGGUUCCCUGAACUGUCCUGAGGCGUCAUCACCGUUCCGUGAGAGUGAAGGGAGGCCAUAGAGGCCAGGCCACAGGGUUCGAUUAGUGGACAGAACCCUGUCUAAGAGCCCUCUGACAGUUUUCUGACAAAGUGCAAAAUAAGGUGGUGAGAGGCAGGAUAGACAUCAUUGAGAUUCUGAUUCUGCGGAGGCCCUGAAGUCGAUGAGAGGUGAGAAGCAGGUGUGAAUAAUUCAGGCUCCAGGCAGAAGACAAGGCGGGCUAGGGCCUGUCAGGCAAAGGAAGACACACACUCGGAGCUCUGAGAUACCAAAGUAGAUGCUGCGGAGGAAGAAAUAAUUUAUUGCAAACCGGUCUUCAGUAACGAACUACAGAAAUGAUUCCUGAAAGUAUAGUCUUGCAAAGUGGUCUUUAGGAAGGCUUCCCAGAAAAAGUGGAUAAAUCUGGAGAAUAGGAGGGAAAUCCCAAAAAGGCAGAGAAGAAUGAGGAAAGGGCAGGGACAGCCAAGGUCCUCAGGAUAAUACCUCAUGAAAGCGUGCUGGAUACUGGCAAAGACCUGGUGUGAGUUGAGACUGGCCAGACUGGGCAAGUCUAGAUACUGGAGGAUCUUGAAUGCCAGGAGCAGAGUGGACAGAGUGGUGCUUUUUGGAUGAUGUCGGGUAGGUUGACUCUUCGGAAAAUCCAAGACAGGUCAGGCUUACGAAUGAAGUCAUCUGGGGAAUAAGGCAAAUACUGAGAUCAUAGCAGUAUGUCCUGCCUCCCACAUCAGCAUCAGCAUCCGUAUCAGCAUCAGCAUCACCCAGAGACACACAAGUGAAAUGAGAGGGUGUUUGUCAGUAGUUCCAGAAACCUAAGACAAGCUUGAUAUAUUUCUACUGAAGUGAAAAGAAAAUCUCCAGUGUUUUGUUUAGAGCAGAAAGAGGAGGAGGAGGAGAAGCUGGAAUGUAACGGAGUUUCCACUAGUGUUACCACUUACUCCUCGGGACUCACAGGACGAAGGGACAGAGAAGGCUGCCCCUGCACCAGUACCACCACAGAGAAACAGUGGUGGACAGCCUUUCUAGGAUGAUCAGUCCUCCCUCAGAUGUCAAAGACAGUACUGAGUGAGCUGAGCAGAAUGUCACCACCAAGGGUUCACAGGGAUCUUGGAGCUCUCUCUGACUAUGCAUCUGGGAAGAUGAUGAUAAUGCGGGAGGUGUGUAACACCAGACCCACGCUUUCUGGGAAUUCAGCAUUCAGAGAAAGUGAGGUUUUUACAAGCCAGUGUUUACAGUUGUACAUGUCCUCUCUCCCUGGAGCCACCUCCAAAGCCAUCAGAAGGCUCAUCAAUCUGGUUUGGAUGCUGAAAUUGCUCACAGUGUCUGGAGCUGAUGCCAGAGCAAAAAAGACUUUUAAAAGGCAUCAUACCAUUUUAUCAGCAUAUAAAUAGUUAUAAACCGUGGGGUGUCUCCUCAGGGUAGGUGGUGGUAAACAGCUAGCUGGGCUGGCUGUCGGGACUCAGGGCAUGGAGCUCAGAAGCAGCAGCAGCAGCAGCUAUUUCUACUCAUGUCUUCUCAUCACUCUUGGCACCACCGCCCUGUGUCCAUUCUCAGGCUGUCCUUAGUCCAGAUGGACACUUCUCCCUCAUCCCCAACAAGAAAAUGCCAGCCUCUGCUUCCCACACCCACAGGCUGUAGUUCUUAGUGGAGGUGCUAUGCCUCUGCUUGGCCCCAGAUCUCAGUCUGUGUCCAACAAAAGAGGCAGACAAGAGUCUGUGGUUGUUGUUGUUGUCUCUGUUGUCUCUGUCCCCUCCAAGUGCCUGUGUGUAUGGAUAUAUGUGCAGGAAUUUAUGUGAUCUGUUUACUAAAAUUGGACUUCAUACUUUUUCUUGAAUAACUGAUUUCUUUCCUGUAAUUACUAGUUAUUAGUAACACAUGAUUGUUCACUAGAGAAAAAAUAAAAUCUGUAUCUAAUUGU
ensembl:lincRNA Gm26777 predicted gene, 26777